CACGUGUUACAAUGGCAGGUACAGAGGGAUGCUACCGGGCGACCGGAUGCGGAUCUCGAAAGCCUGUCCCAGUUCGGACUGGAGUCUGCAACCCGACUCCACGAAGUUGGAUUCGCUAGUAAUCGCGCAUCAGCCAUGGCGCGGUGAAUACGUUCCCGGGCCUUGUACACACCGCCCGUCAAGCCAUGGGAGCCGGGGGCGCCUGAAGUCCGGGACCGCGAGGACCGGCCUAGGGCGAAACUGGUAACUGGGGCUAAGUCGUAACAAGGUACC
rnacentral:rRNA from 1 species